rnacentral:lncRNA from 1 species
CCGCUGAGGUUUUGAUUUAUGCCUGUCAUUUUAUUUUGCCUGAAAAUUCUGUCAUGACUUUCCGGUGUAUAGUGCUAGUUUAGAUCAUGCAUUCGUAUGAGCUGCUUAAGUGAAACAGCCAAACAAGAGUUGAUGGUCUUGCACGUGUUAACCUUUAUGCUGACCUAAUGGGCAAGAAUUUUAGGCCAGGAUCUGAGUUAUUAUCUAAAUUGAUUGGUUCCAAACAUAUUCUUCAAGUUGUUGUCAAGUUAGGUUGAUGUAAUGCAAUUGCUAUGCGGCCAGAGGAGGGGCUCCUUUUUCUUGUGGGAUAUAAUCUAAGAAUGAACCCACUUAAACACUAUCUAUCUAUCCAUAUAUUCUUAUGUCCAAGGUUUCUAGAAUGCAAAGGCUUUAGUGAUUUUAAACACCAAGGGCAAUGUAGAUCAUUGUUAUAUCGAUCAUAAAUUGUCAUUUUCUCUUGGAUUUCAAAGCACCGCAUCCAAUAUGCUGAUUCAAGUGAUAUGUCUUCUCAGUAGUUCCAGCUUAAUCACCAGCCUCAGUUGCCUAUCUUUUGAAAUUUUACUACUCCGGGAGAAUUCGCCCCUCG